rnacentral:lncRNA from 1 species
AGAGAGGUGGCAGGUGUGUGCUGAUGGCUUCUCAUUGGCAGUGGUCAGUGGGAGAGGUAGACAUGGCAGGUGGAUGAGGUCACCGAAAGGAAACCUGGCCCAGAGGAGAAAUGUAGACCAAAAUUGCAUCUGCCAAAGACUCUGUCCCAGGAGGAGACCUUGCUGCUGUGGCACCUGCUAUCUUCUAGGACAAAGACUCAGGCUGCACAGUCUCUGCUUAUUGUGAAGAACUUUUCAUUGAAUUCAGAUACUUCUUGUAGAGUGGACACUUGCUUGGUCCAGAGGAGGACACAGGACUCAAGGAAUAGGUCCCUGAUGGACUCAUCCUACAGGGAUCAAGAGAAGAACAGGAAGCCUUUAGGUUUCUGGGAAACAUCCAGGAAUGAAAAACCAGGAUUCAAAGCAGCAAAUAAAUUUGUAUAAUUUUUUGUUAAUAUUGUCUGUUUCCCACCCACAGCACUUAGGAAGAAAGCUGGUAAAAAGAAAAAAAAAAAAAGCAGUGAUUAUUUUUAGGGAUAGCAAGUGAGAGUCCCUUUGUUAUUUGAAAUCCUCUUCCCUCUCCACGCUGCUUAAAAAAUUCACCCCAAAAUGCAAUUCGUCAUAGAAAA